rnacentral:rRNA from 1 species
GACGAACGCUGGCGGCAUGCCUAACACAUGCAAGUCUAGGGGUAGCAAUACCACUGGCGCACGGGUGAGUAGCACGUAGGUUAUCUGCCCCCAUCACAGACAUAACCCCGGGAAACCGGGCUAAUAUCUGAUGAGGUCGCGAGAUCAAAGCUUCGGCGGAUGGGGAUGAGCCUGCGGCUGAUUAGCUAGUUGGUGAGGUAAUGGCUCACCAAGGCGACGAUCAGUAGCUGGUCUGAGAGGACGAACAGCCACACUGGAACUGAGACACGGUCCAGACUCCUACGGGAGGCAGCAGUGAGGAAUAUUGGUCAAUGGGAGCAAUCCUGAACCAGCAAUGCCGCGUGUGGGAUGACAGGGCUUCGCCUUGUAAACCACUGUCGGACGGGACGAAAGGAGGCCUCGGGGCCUCUGGGACGGUACCGUCAAAGGAAGGGUCGGCUAACUACGUGCCAGCAGCCGCGGUAAU